rnacentral:sRNA from 1 species
CAACAACUGAAAGGAGGUGACCCAGUGUCUCAUAGUGAAAGCCGCAAGGCCGAAAUCGUGACCUGGACCUCCGCUUACGGGGUCCGCGCCUAAACCAUUGAAUGGUAAGGGGUCGCGAGCCGCUCUGCGGUCCGACUAUGGAAAGGCCGUUCUGGCGACAGGACGGCCUU